rnacentral:rRNA from 1 species
AUUGAACGCUGGCGGCAGGCUUAACACAUGCAAGUCUAGCGAGAGGCGUACGGGUGAGUAAGGUCUGGGCAACUGCCUGGUGGAGGGGGAUUACUAAUGGAAACGAUUGCUACUACCGCAUUCCUUCGGUUACGCCCGGAUGGGAUUAGGUAGUGGGUGGGGUAAUGGACCACCGAGGCGACGAUCCCUAGCUGGUCUGAGAGGAUGAGCAGCCACACGGGAACUGAGACACGGUCCAGACUCCUACGGGAGGCAGCAGUGGGGAAUAUUGCACAAUGGGCGCAAGCCUGAUGCAGCCAUGCCGCGUGUGUGAAGAAGGCCUUCGGGUUGUAAAGCACUUUCAGCGAGGAGGCGUUACUCGCAGAAGAAGCACCGGCUAACUCCGUGCCAGCCGCCGCGGUAAUUC